rnacentral:rRNA from 1 species
UACGGGGGGGGCAAGCGUUGUUCGGAAUUACUGGGCGUAAAGGGCUCGUAGGCGGCCAACUAAGUCAGACGUGAAAUCCCUCGGCUUAACCGGGGAACUGCGUCUGAUACUGGAUGGCUUGAGAUUGGGAGAGGGAUGCGGAAUUCCAGGUGUAGCGGUGAAAUGCGUAGAUAUCUGGAGGAACACCGGUGGCGAAGGCGGCAUCCUGGACAAACACUGACGCUCAGGCACGAAAGCGUGGGGAGCAAGCAGG